rnacentral:rRNA from 1 species
CCUACGGGUGGCAGCAGUGAGGAAUAUUGGUCAAUGGCCGUAAGGCUGAACCAGCCAAGUCGCGUGAAGGAAGAAGGUUCUCUGGUUUGUAAACUUCUUUUAUCGGGGAAUAAAAGUAUCAACGUGUAGAGAUUUGCAUGUACCCUAUGAAUAAGCAUCGGCUAACUCCGUGCCAGCAGCCGCGGUAAUACGGAGGAUGCGAGCGUUAUCCGGAUUUAUUGGGUUUAAAGGGUGCGUAGGUUGUUUUUUAAGUCAGCGGGGAAAGUUUGUGGCUCAACCAUCAGAUUGACGUUGAAACUGGAUGACUUGAGUGUGUUUGAAGUAGGCGGAAUGCGGGGUGUAGCGGUGAAAUGCAGAGAUAUCACGCAGAACUCCGAUUGCGAAGGCAGCUUACUAAGCCAUAACUGACGCUGAAGCACGAAAGCGUGGGUAUCAAACAGGAUUAGAUACCCGAGUAGUC